AACGAACGCUGGCGGCAGGCUUAACACAUGCAAGUCGAGCGCCCCGCAAGGGGAGCGGCAGACGGGUGAGUAACGCGUGGGAAUCUACCGUGCCCUACGGAAUAGCUCCGGGAAACUGGAAUUAAUACCGUAUACGCCCUACGGGGGAAAGAUUUAUCGGGGUAUGAUGAGCCCGCGUUGGAUUAGCUAGUUGGUGGGGUAAAGGCCUACCAAGGCGACGAUCCAUAGCUGGUCUGAGAGGAUGAUCAGCCACAUUGGGACUGAGACACGGCCAAACCUCCUACGGGAGGAAGCGGUGGGGAAUAUGGGACAAGGGGCGCAAGCCUGAUCCAGCAAUGCCGCGUGAGUGAUGAAGGUCUUAGGAUUGUAAAGCUCUUCCACCGGUGAAGAUAAUGACGGUAACCGGAGAAGAAGCCCCGGCUAACUUCAUGCCAGCCGCCGCCGUAA
rnacentral:rRNA from 1 species